UACGGAGGGAGCAAGCGUUACUCGGAAUUAUUGGGCGUAAAGGGCGCGUAGGCGAUUUGAAAAAGUCUUGUGUGAAAAGCCCCCGAGCUUAACUCGGGAAGUGCACAAGAAACUGUUGAAUUUGAGUUCCGGAGAGGAAGGCAGAAUUCCCGGUGUAGCGGUGAAAUGCGUAGAUAUCGGGAGGAAUACCAGUGGCGAAGGCGGCCUUCUGGACGGAUACUGACGCUGAGGCGCGAAAGCCAGGGGAGCAAACGGG
rnacentral:rRNA from 1 species